UUUAAUUGAAGAGUUUGAUCAUGGCUCAGAUUGAACGCUGGCGGCAGGCUUAACACAUGCAAGUCGAGCGGAAACGAGAAUAGCUUGCUAUUCGGCGUCGAGCGGCGGACGGG
rnacentral:rRNA from 1 species